GCCCCUAUAGCUUAACGGUAAAGCGCACUACUGUUAAUAAUGUGAUAGGCGUUCGAUUCGCCUUAGGGGCU